rnacentral:rRNA from 1 species
AGUGAACGCUGGCGGUAGGCCUAACACAUGCAAGUCGAACGGCAGCACAGUAAGAGCUUGCUCUUACGGGUGGCGAGUGGCGGACGGGUGAGGAAUACAUCGGAAUCUACUUUUUCGUGGGGGAUAACGUAGGGAAACUUACGCUAAUACCGCAUACGACCUACGGGUGAAAGCAGGGGAUCUUCGGACCUUGCGCGAUUGAAUGAGCCGAUGUCGGAUUAGAUAGUUGGCGGGGUAAAGGCCCACCAAGGCGACGAUCCGUAGCUGGUCUGAGAGGAUGAUCAGCCACACUGGAGCUGAGACACGGUCCAGACUCCUACGGGAGGCAGCAGUGGGGAAUAUUGGACAAUGGGCGCAAGCCUGAUCCAGCCAUACCGCGUGGGUGAAGAAGGCCUUCGGGUUGUAAAGCCCUUUUGUUGGGAAAGAAAAGCAGCAGGUUAAUACCCCGCUGUUCUGACGGUACCCAAAGAAUAAGCACCGGCUAACUUCGUG